GGUUAAGCGACUAAGCGUACACGGUGGAUGCCCUGGCAGUCAGAGGCGAUGAAGGACGUGCUAAUCUGCGAUAAGCGUCGGUAAGGUGAUAUGAACCGUUAUAACCGGCGAUUUCCGAAUGGGGAAACCCAGUGUGUUUCGACACACUAUCAUUAACUGAAUCCAUAGGUUAAUGAGGCGAACCGGGGGAACUGAAACAUCUAAGUACCCCGAGGAAAAGAAAUCAACCGAGAUUCCCCCAGUAGCGGCGAGCGAACGGGGAGGAGCCCAGAGCCUGAAUCAGUGUGUGUGUUAGUGGAAGCGUCUGGAAAGGCG
rnacentral:rRNA from 1 species